rnacentral:rRNA from 1 species
GAUGAACGCUGACAGAAUGCUUAACACAUGCAAGUCAACUUUGGCGGACGGGUGAGUAACGCGUAAAGAACUUGCCUCACUGCUAGGGACAACAUUAGGAAACGAAUGCUAAUACCUGCUACUGUGAGAGAGCUUUGCGUCCCAUUAGCUUGUUGGAGAGGUAACGGCUCACCAAGGCGAUGAUGGGUAGCCGGCCUGAGAGGGUGAUCGGCCACAAGGGGACUGAGACACGGCCCUUACUCCUUCGGGAGGCAGGAGUGGGGAAUAUUGGACAAUGGACCAAAGUCUGAUCAAGGAAUUCUGUGUGCAAGAUGAAGUUUUCGGAAUGUAAAGUGCUUUCAGUUGGGAAGCGGUACCAACAGAAGAAGUGACGGCUAAAUACGUGCCAGCAGCCGCGGUAAUUC